GCCUCCGUAGCUCAGUGGAUAGAGCGUCUGCCUCCGGAGCAGAAGGUCGCUGGUUCGAAUCCAGUCGGGGGUACCA
rnacentral:tRNA from 1 species